rnacentral:rRNA from 1 species
UACAUGUACAGGAUAGGUGGGAGGCUUUGAAACCAGGACGCCCGUUUUGGCGGAGCCAUCCUUGGGAUACCACCCUUGUAGUACUGGGCCUCUAACCAUAGGCCAUGAAUCUGGUCUGGGGACACUGUCAGGUGGGCAGUUUGACUGGGGCGGUCGCCUCCCCAAAGGUAACGGAGGCGCUCACAGGUUCACUCAGUACGGUCGGAAAUCGUCCGUAGAGCGUAACGGCAAAAGAGAGCUUGAUUGCGCGACAUACAGGUCGAGCAAGGAUGCAAAUCGGACUUAGUGAUCCGGUUGUUCUGCGUCGAAGGGCCCUCGCUCAACGGCUCAAAGCUACCCCGGGGAUAACAUGACUAUCUCCCCCAAGUGUCCACACCGACCGCGAGGUUCAGCACCCCGACGUAGGCGCA